rnacentral:snRNA from 1 species
AAAGGUGAAGGGAAACUAUAUAUUUUUGAAGGACAAAACUGCAUGUGUGACUAGGACAAAAGUGUCCCCUUCCUCCCUCACCGCUCCAUGUGCAUCCCUCCCAAAAUUGUGCAAUCAAAGAGGAUGAUCUUCCCCAAUAGAGACAUACCAUUCAUCGGUCAAGGGUAUACAGGAACCUCCAAACCCUGCAUAUUCAGUAUAAUCUCUGUUGUGUCCAGGAAUCCAGUCAGUUUUCAGAUGGCUCGCACUG